rnacentral:misc_RNA from 1 species
AACGCAUCUUGCGCUCUCUGGUAUUCCGGAGAGCAUGUCUGUUUGAGUGUCAUGAACUCUUCAACCCACCGGUUUCUAGUUAAACUGCUGUGGCGCUUGGAUCCUGAGCGUUUGCUCUGCCUUGGCAGAGCUCGUUCGUAAAACAUUAGCUUUCUUGACUCGAUUCGGAUUGACUCGGCGUAAUAGACUAUUCGCUGAGGACAAGCUUCGCGCUUGGCCGGCUCGACUGUCAGACGAAGGCUUCUAGUCUGUCAUUUUUUAAGAUUAGACCUCAAAUCAGAUAGGACUACCCGCUGAACUUAA